CGGGGGUAUAAUCCUAGGAGGUGCCUGAAUUCACGUCAUUUUCAGCUCAUUGACUUUCUUAUUCAUUGCUUCUCAUCUGACCUGGGAGCACCAGACCACAGUUAUCCUCUUUCACCUCCUCUGUUUUUCACGUCAGUUCUCCUCCCACAUUGGCUGCUGUGGGCUCAGAGCCAGCACUACUUCUUGCCAAGUCGGGGAGUGAUAAAGUGAUAGAAAGUGGAGAGACAUGCACUAAAGAGAAUACCAAGAGACUGAGACCCUUCUAAAACUCCAGACUCCAAGCCCAUUUUAGGAAAUUAUCAAUUGAGAUUGCAUCAUGGAAUGAAAAAAGCAGAGCUGCAAAGAAGGAGCACACAUGACAGGUUUUAUGGUGGGUGAGUAGGCAGAAGUGUUACCGACAAAGCACUGCUCACGGGAGAGGGUGGGGCCUACGUCAUGGACCACAAGUGGUAGUACUAUUCAUUUGGUUCUGCAAAUGCUCUGCCUUCCCGCAUCACCUUCACAUAUAUUAUCCUCCACCCUCUCCCCACCCUUCACUGAAUAAUGCUCAUGCUUCCAGGCUCAAAGUAAACAUCUCUUCAAGGAGGCUUUCCUGGGCCCGGUCUGGGUUUGCACCUACCGGCACCCACAGCACCCUGAACAUCUUCUAUUGAGCAUACUUGUCCACUAUCUGUCUUCCCAGCUAGAAUGUAAGCAACAAGAAGUCAUCAACUUUAUCUUGCUCGCUGGCUAAUGUAUCCGCAGCACCUUUAUGGUGUCUGGCACAUUUGUUAAAGGCAGAGCCAGGUGCUGGCCAAUAUAAAGACGGAGAGGAAGAAGAGAAAAGUGAGAAGACAUGCACUUGAACUUAAAACGCCUGACAUUUUGCCACAGAAUCACUCUGAGUGGUGCAACUGGGAGGAGUGAGGACAUGUAGAGCAGGCAAUUGAAAGGAAUUGAGAAGAAAGACUCCAACACAAAAGAAAGGCAUGGGGAAGCAAAUCAAUGUAAAGAGUAACAAGCACAGGUGUUUGCCCUGAGAGCCCAUAGCUAGGCCAAGCCUUCCGCAGACGAAUGAAACCAGGCUGAGAACGAGCCAUUUCUCCCAAACUGCCUCUUGUUUGCUGCCUUUUGCUAGAAAGAGAUGGGGAACCCCUGCUCUCUACAGAUGACUAACCAGGGAGCAGUCUGCGGAAUACAGUGAUGACCUGCUGAGAGGAAGAGGGAGGGAAGGAGAGUUUCCACCAGGAUGUUCGAGAGACUCGCCCAAGUUCUCACAGCUGGUCAGCGGUAAAGCGGUUUUUCCGGCUCCUGUUCAGUGAGUCUUUCCAUUACUCGCUGCGAACGCAACAAGCCAAGGGGACAAGUUCCAGUUUUUAUCCCUGAAAGAGAACUCUUCCUCCCAGGUUUAACCUGGGUUUAGCCUGUCUUCCACUCGGGCCUGGCUGUAGGGAGAAACAGUCGUCUUAGAGUUUGAUUCGUGACUUCUCUUCUUGCCAGCCAAGUGACUUAGCAGCUGUGUGAUUUUGCACGUGAUUUCUCUGAAUAUUCCCUUCCAAGUGCAUAAAGCAUAGAUAAUGUUACCUAAGUUUCAGAGCUGUUGUAAUGAUUAAGAAUAGCAGUAAAUAUCUACUGUUUUCCACACCCUAGGCUCAGUUCAAAGCGCCUUGUGUGCAUUGAUUCAUUGAAUUCUCAAACACUUCUAUGUAAUUUCACAUACGCUAUGUCAUUUUAUUUUACAGAUGAAGAAACAAUGGCAGAGAGGUAAAGGAAAUUAUCCCAGGUCAGACCGCAAACAAAUAGAGCCAGAAUUCCAAGCCAGGCGCCUGACACCAGAGCCAAGUGCUUAAUCUCUAAGUAUACUGACUAUGCAAGUUAUGUUUCCUGUCUACAAUAGGUACUCAAUCAAUAGCUGUUACCUGG
ensembl:lncRNA